rnacentral:lncRNA from 1 species
AACGAAAGCAAACAAAAACAAACGAAAUCAAACAAAAACAAACAAAGGAAAAGCAUAUAUAAAGAAAUAAAUAAAAACUGAAAACAAGAAUAAUUAAAAGAAAAAAUUGAGACAAAUUAAAAACAAAAAGUUUAAAGUGAUAAAAUUAUAAAUAUUCAUAUUUUAUUUUUUUUUUUUUUAAAUCAUUUCUCUUAUUCAUACUAAAUAAAAAUGCAUAUAUAUAUAUGUGCAUGUGUAAGUACAUAUAUACACGUGGUAUAAUAAAAAUUUAUUCAAGUGUUGUAUGUUUGUUAUAAAUCGAAGAUAAAUUUUUGUUUUGCUUCUUUGCAUUUUGUUUUGCGUCCUUGCAUUUUGUUUCUUUUUUUUUUUUUUUUUUUUUUUUUUAUGUUUUUUUUUUUUUUUUUUUUUUUUUUUUUUUUUUUUUUAACUUUCUUGGACAAAUAAUAAUCAAACAAUAAAAUUUUUUAUUUUGAAAUUUUUUUUUAAUUA